rnacentral:rRNA from 1 species
UACGUAGGGUGCAAGCGUUGUCCGGAAUUAUUGGGCGUAAAGAGCGCGUAGGCGGUCCGAUAAGUCGGCUGUGAAAGUCAGGGGCUCAACCCUUGAAAGCCGGCCGAUACUGUCGGACUAGAGUCCGGAAGAGGCGAGUGGAAUUCCUGGUGUAGCGGUGAAAUGCGCAGAUAUCAGGAGGAACACCUAUUGCGAAGGCAGCUCGCUGGGACGUAACUGACGCUGAGACGCGAAAGCGUGGGGAGCAAACAGG